rnacentral:rRNA from 1 species
GACGAACGCUGGCGGCGUGCCUAAACUAUGCGAGUCGUGCGGAGCUUUAGGUUGAACCGCAAGGGAAUUACUAAAGCUUAGCGGCGAACGGGUGAGUAACGCGUGCGCAACCUGCCCUCAAGACCGGGAUAACUCCGAGAAAUCGGGGCUAAUACUGGAUACGAAACUUUCCCGCAUCAGAGAGUUUGGAAAGGAGCAAUCCACUUGAGGGAGGGCUCGCGUCCUAUCAGCUAGUUGGUGAGGUAAUAGCUCACCAAGGCGAUGACCGGUAGCCGGCCUGAGAGGGUGACCGGCCACACUGGGACUUAGACACGGCCCAGACUCCUACGGGAGGUAGCAAGUGGGAAUUUUGCACAAUGGGCGAAAGCCUGAUGCAGCGACGCCGCGUGAGGGAUGAAGGCCUUCGGGUCGUAAACCUCUGUUGACAGGGAAGAAUACUGACGGUACCUGUCGAGGAAGCCUCGGCUAACUCCGUGCCAGCCGCCGCAGUAACAC